CUGAAGGAAAAGGCGGACUUGCAAGGACUUCUCCUCCUAUACCAAAGGAACCAAAGAAGACUAGAGAACGCAAGGUCCAUCCCGAAACAUGGCUUUAUGAUCUUGUAACUGUAGGACCAGAGGGUCACACACAGAUUUCACUGACCACCCCAGACUCUAUCACUACAUGGGAGACGGAUGCAUUCUGUCUGAGUCAGUCUGGCUAUGGGGAGGCUGAGAAAGUUGAGCUUACCACAAUCCAACCUUACUUUAUUGACCUGACGUUUCCCCACUCUGUGGUGCAGGAUGAGGUAUUCCCACUCACUGCCCAAGUCUUCAACUAUGAGAAGACU